rnacentral:rRNA from 1 species
UACGUAGGAUCCAAGCGUUAUCCGGAAUCACUGGGCGUAAAGCGUACGUAGGUGGCGUGUUAAGUGUGGUGCGAAAUCCUGUGGCUCAACCAUAUGGACUGUGCCGCAUACUGGCAUGCUAGAGGAUGGCAGAGGUAAGUGGAAUUGGCAGUGUAGCAGUGAAAUGCGUAGAUAUUGCCAGGAACACCAAUGGCGAAGGCAGCUUACUGGGCCACCCCUGACACUGAGGUACGAAAGCGUGGGGAGCGAACAGG